rnacentral:lncRNA from 1 species
CCAGUUUAUAUCGACACUUGUCUUGGCAUAACUCUUAAAAAUACCUAAAUAAAUAAGUAAAUAAAUAAAUAAAGGAUAUUUAUUAAAAGAGUAAACCAUUUUGUGUAUGCAUGAUACAAUUUAUAUCUGUAUAUUAUGAAAUGAUUUAUCACUAACAUUAUUUUUUGCCGAGUUUUAGGAGCACAAAAUGUUUUGGUAUUGAGUCCCAUUAUUGAGUUUAAAUAAAGGAAGCAAAACUGCACAAUAACUUUCACACACAACUUUAAUUCUGAUUGCUUUUCUAUGUAUAAUGUCCACAAACACACAAAUUAGCUACCAGUUGGAAUUUUAAAUGAGAAGAUGCAUCUUUUGGUGACAUUACUAUUCUGAAAUUACACUUCCUGAGAAACAUUUGCUUCUCUAUCUGCCAGUCAUUUACGCCAAGAAUCUUCCCUGAUGGACAAGUGAACCCCUAAUAUGAUGCGCUUUAUUCAUGGAUAUGAACAAAACCCAAGGAGCUCAAUCCUUCUCUGCUCCCCACUCAAGUGGAUUCUUCUUGUACAGACUCUCUUCUCCAUCAUUCCAUCACUUCCACAAGUACCGCCAUCUUCUUUCUCCAGAUCUCCCCAUGGACAUGAUGCACCUGGGUCCUCAGUAGCUGUGGGGUAGGACUUUAUCCCAAACUAGGUUGUACUGACUCUAUAUUCUGUAUUUUUAUCUAGGAUGCCAUGGUGGAAGGACCAGAAAGCUUAUGAGCCUGACCAUCUCUAUCGGGAGGUUUCCUUGAUGGUGUUCUUCAUUCCUGUUCUUUUUGACCCUGGAGUCUAAGUUUACUCACCAUAUUGUGAACUCCCCACUAUGCAUCCAAUAAGAAUUUUCUGGUUUUUGUUUAAUUUAGCUGGAAUCAGUUACUGCUGCUCCUAAAACCUGGCUCCGCAGACAAUCAAUUCUAUAGUACUCCCUCCUACUUCCCCCUACUUCCUCUCUGCUUCCUCCCUACUUCUUUCCCUUUUUGCUCUUUUUUCUCCUUUCUGCCUUCUCUCUUUUCUUAUUGUCUCAUACUUUUAUUGCCCGUGCUUAGAGGUUUUGAAGGAUGAAUGAAAAAUGAAAAGGCGAAUGCAAAAAAUAGAAAAAAAAAAAAGAAAAUAUUUGAAAGAUGUUUAAUCCCAACUGCUUUAUUUAUUUUUCUUUUCAACUAAAAUGGAAGGAUCCCUGGCCGUAUAUUUUAGACCAUUCCAAGUCUUAUGGGAAUGCAGUAAAAUAUGAUUAUUAGUAGCAAAACAAAACAAUACAAAAAGCAAAGCAAGUUGAUCCCCUCUCCAAAUUAUUCAGCAAACCCAACAUUUUCAUAAUGUUGGUCUUUCAAACAUGUUCAUGGCUCAUGGCUUGUCUAAACUAAUUAGACAGUUUGAUGGAUACAAUAUUUAUUUUCAAAGGAUCACGCCAGAUCUUCUUAUAAAAGUAAUUAACAAAGUUAUUUUUGGAAGUUAAUGUUUCUCUGUAGCAAGCUGGGAGAAUUUAAGUUUUAAUGUCCAGAGAUGGUGUCACUAAAGGUGCAUUUAAAUAUUUAGCCAAAAAUUAGAGGGCCUGAAGUUACAAAGUUUACUUGAAAGAGAAAUGAGUCACAUCACCAGGAGUUUAUCUCUUAGACUUGCUUGCUUGCAUGGUCACCAGAAGUCUGUUUUGUUCUUGGUUCCCUCCUUAAGACAUUCAACAGCUGUUGCUUCCCCUAAACCGUAAACUCCCUCUUCCUGUACUACCCAGGCUGCUAUAGGCACAGACAGUCCGGAAAUGUGAGACACUUUGGUAAAUAACAGAAGUUAGCAGUGAUAGGAAUAAACUGUAGAUCCUUUUAGGAACCAGAGCAGGGUCCUCUUACAUCAGCACAGCAGAUUCAGGUAAGCCUCAGCAUAAGCCACUUACGGAGCAAAGAACUCGGCCCACCUACGUCAUUUCUAUGAGCAUAAUCGUAGCAGACACGUACAGCUGACUUCUAUCUCAAUCUGCCAAACUGUUUUUUCAUCUGUCAGCAAACUAUCUCCACUUUAAUUAAGAAUGCAUUGAUUUUUGUCUUUUUUAUUGUUCAUAAAGCAUUCAGUCUAUUUGCACUUUAUUUACCUUUUAAAAUUUAUUUGUUUAUUUUUGUGAGCAUUGUUAUUUUACCUUCGUGGUAUGUCUGUGCAUCACAUGAUGCAUGUUUGGUUCCCCUGAAGGACAGAACAGGCUUCAGAGCCUCUGGAGCUGGAGUUACAGACUGUUAUGAGCUGGAAUGUGGGUCCUGGGAAUCAUACCCAGGUCCCGUGAGAGAGCAGCCAGUGCUCUUGACCACAGAGACACCUCUCUAGCUCCCUGUACCUCUUUUAAUACCUAAUAUGUUACUUGAUCCUGUUUUAAUGUUUUGGGCUUUAUAAAAAUAGAUAAAGUAUUUGUGCCAAUUAAUAAGUUUAAUAAAAAAGUUAGAUCCAAUCUUGCAUUUCAGAUAAUUCUUAUACCUCCUGAGACAUAAAAAAAUCUUCCUUUAUAUACAAAAAUAAUCAUUGGACUUUUACAAGUAUUGUGCCAGAAAUAGCAGGAAGGGUUUAUCACUUCAGUUUUAAAAUAGUAAGACGAGCUUAAAGCAAAGCAAACUGUUCUGAGAAUUUAGUGGAUUUAGAAUAGUAAAAAUUUUCCAAUAAUAAAAAAUUU